GCCGGGCGUUGUGGUGGGUGCCUGUAGUUCCAGCUACUUGGGAGGCAGGAGAAAUGCUUGAGCCCAGGAGUUGGAGGUUGCUGUGAGCUGUGAUGCCAUGGCACUCUACCCAGGGGGACAGCUUGAGGCUCUGUCUCAAAAAAAAAAAAAAAAAGAGACAGGGUCUUACUUUGUUGCCCUCGGUAAUGUGCUGCAGUGUCACAGCUCACAGCAACUUCCAGCUCUUGGGCUUAGCCAAUUCUC
rnacentral:sRNA from 1 species